AUUGAACGCUGGCGGCAUGCUUUACACAUGCAAGUCGAACGGUAACAGGCCGCAAGGUGCUGACGAGUGGCGAACGGGUGAGUAAUGCAUCGGAACGUGCCCAGUCGUGGGGGAUAACUACUCGAAAGAGUAGCUAAUACCGCAUACGAUCUAUGGAUGAAAGCGGGGGACCGUAAGGCCUCGCGCGAUUGGAGCGGCCGAUGUCAGAUUAGGUAGUUGGUGGGGUAAAGGCUCGCCAAGCCAACGAUCUGUAGCUGGUCUGAGAGGACGACCAGCCACACUGGGACUGAGACACGGCCCAGACUCCUACGGGAGGCAGCAGUGGGGAAUUUUGGACAAUGGGCGCAAGCCUGAUCCAGCAAUGCCGCGUGCAGGAAGAAGGCCUUCGGGUUGUAAACUGCUUUUGUACGGAACGAAACGGCUCUGGUUAAUACCCGGGGCUAAUGACGGUACCGUAAGGAUAAGCACCGGCUAACUACGUG
rnacentral:rRNA from 1 species